UACAGAGGUCCCAAGCGUUGUUCGGAUUUACUGGGCGUAAAGGGUGCGUAGGUGGUCGGGUAAGUCUCAUGUGAAAUCCCGCAGCUUAACUGCGGAACGGCAUGGGAUACUAUUCGGCUCGAGGAUUGGAGGGGGGACUGGAAUUCCCGGUGUAGCAGUGAAAUGCGUAGAUAUCGGGAGGAACACCGGUGGCGAAGGCGGGUCUCUGGGCCGAUACUGACGCUGAGAGACGAAAGCUAGGGGAGCGAAUGGG
rnacentral:rRNA from 1 species